ensembl:lncRNA
UAGAAAGGUCAGAAUUUCUCUUGGAAUGGGCUGUAAUUGCAAGCCUCAAGCCCAGAUGUAUGACACUGAAUAUUGUUCACCUUUCUUCCAGGCUUGCAACCAGUUAGAAAAGACUCUCAUAGGAAAGCUAAGUUAAUAAUCUUUAUUAUUAUUGUUAUUUGUAUUUUGAGACCUGCAAUUGCCAAGAGCCCUGAAAUAAUCCAUCUUGUCUCAGCUAUAUCUUCGAGCCUUUUCUUUUUGAGUUCCCCUCUCCUGCUAUCCGUGACAACGAGCCGUGGCCCUCGCUGUCCUCUCCCGGAGCUGUAUUGCUCGAGUGCCCCACACGGUGGCAGAGUGGGUGACAAACUUUCUCCCAAACGGCGAAGUGAGGAAAUGAUCAGCGGGUGAAACCUUUAAAAGAAACAAACGCCAGAUGGACGUAUUCCCUUCAUUUCCACUGGAGAUAUACGACUACGUACACCCUUGGCACGGCUUUGAAACUCUCAUCCAGCAGCAAUGAACACAGCAGGCGAAAAUGUCUUGCAGACAAGGUCAAUGGCUUUUUAAAAUAUCCCUUCUGUCAGAAAGGAAAGCAUGUUGCUGUCUGUCCUGCAGGUACCACUGUGUUCUAUAUCCGUUCCUCCUGGCAGUGCUGGAUUGCUGCCUUGCUGAGCUGAAGGGCUAUAGGCUUCAGAGGCUCAAUGGAUGAUUGAGGCCUUUCUCAUUCUUGCCUGGUCUCUUUUCACUGGUGACAGGUGACAGGAUGAGGGGAAAUGGCCUCAAGUUGUGCCAGGGUAAGUUUAGGUUGGAUAUCAGGAAAAACUUCUUUACAGAAAGAGUGGUUAAGCACUGGAAUAGGCUCCCCAGGGAGAUGGUUGAGUCACCAUCCCUGGAUGUGCUUAAAAACCAUUUGGAUGUGGUGCUCAGGGAUAUGAUUUAGCGGAGGGUUGUUAGGGUAGUAUGGUUAGAAUCGUGGUUGGACUCGAUGAUCUUUAAGGUCUUUUCCAACCUGAGUGAUUCUAUGAUUCUAUUACUUCAUCAAACGACCUUUCCAAUCGGAAUUCUACAAGCCGGCUCCAUACAAACCAAGAACCUCUUCACCACACCUUGCUGCUCCAUAGAGCAAGCUGCCAGGCUGGAAGGCACUCAGCCAUCUGCUGGCACAGCCUCCUGGGAAGACAGAGCUGCAGACAACAAUAACAACAAGGCUGCUCUCCAUGGACUUUUUCAUCAAUGGAGCUCAAAGUGCUUCUCAAAGAAGGUCGGUGUCACUGCCCAUUUGCAGAUGAGGAAAAUGAGGCACAGGAAAGAAGGGAUUUUGUUACAGCCAUCAGCAAGUGAGAGAGCCAUAAAGAGAUCCUCCAUCGAGUACUGUUAAAUUGUCACUCAGCAACCAUAAGUGCAGAUUUUGAAAAAGAACUUGUGACAGGACAUGACUUACUGUCUCAGCAGGGGCUCUUCCCUAAUCUUGCUCUCUGUAUGGCAAAUGGACUCAUUUGAAAGAAAGACACACCUAAUUACACCACAUGGGCCUGGAUAUGAGAUGGAGGUGAUAGAAGAGUGCAUUUGAGCUGGACAAAUGGAGAGAAAGCAAUUCCAAGGGCGGAAAAAGGGGGAAAAGUACAGGAAUAACUGCAUUUAAUAUAGCAAUGUAACAACUGGC